rnacentral:rRNA from 1 species
CAAGGCGAAACAAGGUAAGUCGAAACAAGGCAUGCAAGUUUGAUCGACUCCUCCGACUUAGUGCCGGACGGGUGAAUGGUACUAGAGUAAGAUCAUGCAGGACUGGUAACACGGCUGAGGACGAAGUCUAGGCCGCUAUAUUCAAUGCGUCCUAUGGUGUAUUCCGUUUGAAUAUGAUGUCCGUCCUUUUACAUUAGUUGGUGAGGUAACGGCUUACCAAGGCAUCGAUCUGUAGCUGGUCUGAGAGGAUGACCAGCCACACUGGGACUGAGACACGGCCCAGACUCCUACGGGAGGCAGCAGUGAGGAAUUUUCCGCAAUGGGCGAAAGCCUGACGGAGUAAUACCGCGUGCGGGAGGAAGGUCUAUUGACUGUAAACCGCUUUUAUUAAGAAAGAAUUGAUGACGGUACUUAAUGAAUAAGCCUCGGCUAACCCCGUGCCAGCAGCCGCGGUAAGACGGAGGAGGCAAGCGUUAUCCGGAAUUAUUGGGCGUAAAGCGUCCGUAGGUGGUUUUGUCAGUCUGCUGUCAAAGCCCGUGGCUCAACCACGGAAAGGCAGUGGAAACUACAAAACUGGAGUGCAGUAGGGGCAGAGGGAAUUCC